rnacentral:rRNA from 1 species
UACGGAGGGAGCUAGCGUUGUUCGGAAUUACUGGGCGUAAAGCGUGCGUAGGCGGUUAUUCAAGUCAGAGGUGAAAGCCCGGGGCUCAACCCCGGAACGGCCUUUGAAACUAGGUAACUAGAAUCUUGGAGAGGUUAGUGGAAUUCCGAGUGUAGAGGUGAAAUUCGUAGAUAUUCGGAAGAAACACCAGUGGCGAAGGCGACUAACUGGACAAGUAUUGACGCUGAGGUACGGAAAGCGAUGGGGAGCAAACAGG